rnacentral:rRNA from 1 species
AGGACGAACGCUGGCGGCGUGCUUAACACAUGCAAGUCGAACGGUGACGGAGGAGCUUGCUCCUCCUGAUCAGUGGCGAACGGGUGAGUAACACGUGAGUAACCUGCCCCAGACUCUGGAAUAACCCCGGGAAACCGGAGCUAAUACCGGAUACGAGACGGAGUCGCAUGGCUACCGUCUGGAAAGUUUUCGGUCUGGGAUGGACUCGCGGCCUAUCAGCUUGUUGGUGAGGUAACAGCUCACCAAGGCGACGACGGGUAGCCGGCCUGAGAGGGCGAUCGGCCACACUGGGACUGAGACACGGCCCAGACUCCUACGGGAGGCAGCAGUGGGGAAUAUUGCACAAUGGGCGAAAGCCUGAUGCAGCGACGCCGCGUGAGGGAUGAAGGCCUUCGGGUUGUAAACCUCUUUCAGCAGGGAAGAAGCGAAAGUGACGGUACCUGCAGAAGAAGCACCGGCUAACUACGUGCCAGCAGCCGCGGU